CGGGGCUCCAACGAUUUUCCUCUGUGAGGAGAGCUCAGAGAGAAGGGCAAAGAAGAAAGUGCUGUUUUCGGUGUUCUAAACCCCGUCUCUGUCACUUCAACAUCUCCUAAUUCCCUGGAUCCUUUCAGG